GGAGGGUUGGCUGAGUGGUCUAAAGCGCCGCACUCGAAAUGCGGUUGGGGGCAACCCCUCACAGGUUCAAAUCCUGUACCCUCCG
rnacentral:tRNA from 1 species